rfam:Ipomoea nil DNA, scaffold: scaffold2647, cultivar: Tokyo-kokei standard.
ACGAUGCCAACCAGGGAUCGGCGGAUGUCGCUUUUAGGACUCCGCCGGCACCUUAUGAGAAAUCAAAGUCUUUGGGU